rnacentral:lncRNA from 1 species
UGGCAGUUGUGGUGUAAGGAUGCUGAAAGAGAUUGCCAUGCUUGAAAAUAUACCUGCUUUAGUCAUUGAAAGUCUCUUCAAGAAGCCCUGAUGGAAGUAAAAAUGCUUUAAUUCAAGCCCAGCUGUAUCUGGUUGACAUCUGAAGACUGCUUUGCUUGCAAGGUUCUCCACAUUUUUGCUGUGCUGCUUGUUUCAGUCUGACGGGGCUUGUGGAAAACGGUUUUAAAGACCCCCCUUUUUUCCCUCCGAGGUGUUGUAAUUUUAUUAAACUUUACCAUAUAUAUGUGUGUGUGUAUGUAUAUACAUGUAUA